GAUGAACGCUGGCGGGAGGCCUAACACAUGCCAGCCGAGCGGUAUUUGUUCUUCGGAACAGAGAGAGCGGCGCACGGGUGCGGAACACGUGUGCAACCUGCCUUUAUCUGGGGGAUAGCCUUUCGAAAGGAAGAUUAAUACCCCAUAAUAUAUUGAGUGGCAUCAUUUGAUAUUGAAAACUCCGGUGGAUAGAGAUGGGCACGCGCAAGAUUAGAUAGUUGGUGAGGUAACGGCUCACCAAGUCAAUGAUCUUUAGGGGGCCUGAGAGGGUGAUCCCCCACACUGGUACUGAGACACGGACCAGACUCCUACGGGAGGCAGCAGUGAGGAAUAUUGGACAAUGGGUUAGCGCCUGAUCCAGCCAUUCCGCGUGAAGGACGACGGCCCUAUGGGUUGUAAACUUCUUUUGUAUAGGGAUAAACCUACUCUCGUGAGAGUAGCUGAAGGUACUAUACGAAUAAGCACCGGCUAACUCCGUG
rnacentral:rRNA from 1 species